AAGCAUAUCAAUAAGCGGAGGAAAAGAAACCAACAGGGAUUGCCUUAGUAACUGCGAGUGAAGCGGCAAAAGCUCAAAUUUUAAAUCUGGCAUCUUCGGUGUCCGAGUUGUAAUUUGGAGAGAUAUCUUCGGUUUGAACGCCGUCCGAAGUUCCUUGGAACAGGACGUCACAGAGGGUGAGAAUCCCGUAUGUGGAUGGCUGUUUCUUUCCAUGUGAAGUGUCUUCGACGAGUCGAGUUGUUUGGGAAUGCAGCUCAAAAUGGGUGGUAAAUGUCAUCUAAAGCUAAAUAUUGGCGAGAGACCGAUAGCGCACAAGUAGAGUGAUCGAAAGAUGAAAAGCACUUUGAAAAGAGAGUUAAAAAGUACGUGAAAUUGUUGAAAGGGAAGCGCUUGAGACCAGACUCAAUCUGUGGUGAUCAACAGUGCUUUUGUACUGUGCACUUGCCACUGUUUGGGACAGCAUCGGUUUGGAUGACGGGAUAAAGACCUGAGGAACGUAGCUCUCUUCGGGGAGUGUUAUAGCCACAGGUGUAAUGCUGUCAAUCCAGACCGAGGACCGCGCUUCUGCUAGGAUGCUGUCAUAAUGGUCUUCAGCGACCCGUCUUGAAACACGGACCAAGGAGUCUAACAUCUAUGCGAGUGUUCGGGUGGAAAACCCUUGCGCGAAAUGAAAGUGAACGGAGGUGGGAACCUUUCAGGGGCACCAUCGACCGAUCCUGAUGUUUUCGGAUGGAUUUGAGUAAGAGCAUAGCUGUUAGGACCCGAAAGAUGGUGAACUAUGCCUGAAUAGGGUGAAGCCAGAGGAAACUCUGGUGGAGGCUCGCAGCGGUUCUGACGUGCAAAUCGAUCGUCAAAUUUGGGUAUAGGGGCGAAAGACUAAUCGAACCAUCUAGUAGCUGGUUCCUGCCGAAGUUU
rnacentral:rRNA from 1 species